CAGAACCCUCCCCACCCCAAGUCUCGAGUCCCGGGGUCCGGAGGAGGCUUCUGCGGAGAUCUUGGAGACACCCCACUGGGACAGUGUUUUCGGGGCUGCAAGCCCCGUGUUGGGGGUCAGCCGGGAUCUGGGUCACUCUCUGGCCUCAGUCAUGGUGGGUAAACACAGUGUGACCCAGGGACCCGUGGCCAGCCAUCGGCAGGCCUGGAUUCUGGACUCUGGGCCCAGCAGCGCCUGUCCGGGUAAGGCACUGGAGAGCUAUGAAGAAGGAAAAAACAAAUUUCAAAACCGGGGGGGCUCUCCCCGCUUCAAGAAAAUCGAGAAGCCGCGAAACACCGUGGGACCCGCAAGACAUGCUCGUGUCGCGCGCUGUUUUAAAACGUGAGAGACCGAAUCCAGAGAGCCAUCAUUAUGACCCAUCAUUCGCAGGUAAUGACGGAAAAUAAUUUUGACCUAUUGGGGGGGUGGCGGUCCUAGGACCCCUUCCCCGCCCCGAGAGGUAGGGGGAGGGGGCCCCGCUGGGGGAAGGGACCCUCGUGACGGCGAUGGGACCACAGAUGAGACUGGGCCACGGCGAGA